GAUGGGAAAGGCCACGAAGCCAAAAGCCAGAGGUGCGUUUCGGGAGCGCGUGGGAAUGGUCGGGAGGCUGCGGAGAUGGCGCUACCUGGGACCGCGGGGAGCGCAGGGCGGGAGGCGGUCGGUCGCCGAGCCCUGCACCUGGCUAAAGGCGAGCUCGCAGCUUUCCAGCCGGGGUGGUUGCCGUUAUUAUUUUUGCAAGGAAAGGAAGUGUUUC
rfam:Erinaceus europaeus unplaced genomic scaffold scaffold00454, whole genome shotgun sequence